CGUUUCCUUAUUCGUUUUUCUUCAUUUCCUUAUACAGUUUCUAUUUCCUUAUUCGAUUUCCAUUUCCUUAUUCGAUUUUCAUUUCCUUAUUCGGUUUCUGUUUCCUUAUUCGGUUUCUAUUUCCUUAUUCAGUUUCUUUUUCCUUAUUCGGUUUCUGUUUCCUUAUUUGAUUUCUUUUUCCUUAUUCAAUUUUCAUUUCCUUAUUCGGUUAUUAUUUCCUUAUAUUUACAACUAUCAAACAUCAACACGCACCAAACUGGAUGUAAUUGAAAGAUAUCUAGAGGUCAAUAUACAGGCUCGAACAAAAGACAAAAAAG
rnacentral:lncRNA from 1 species